rnacentral:rRNA from 1 species
AUACGUAGGGAGCAAGCGUUGUCCGGAAUUACUGGGCGUAAAGGGCGUGUAGGCGGCCGAUCAAGUCAGGUGUGAAAUUUCAGGGCUCAACCCUGAGCGUGCACUUGAAACUGGUUGGCUUGAGUGCAGAAGAGGAAAGUGGAAUUCCCAGUGUAGCGGUGAAAUGCGUAGAUAUUGGGAGGAACACCAGUGGCGAAGGCGACUUUCUGGUCUGUAACUGACGCUGAGGCGCGAAAGCUAGGGGAGCGAACAGGAUUAGAUACCCUGGUAGUCCUAGCCGUAAACGAUGGGUACUAGGUGUAGGGGGUUUAGACGCCCUCUGUGCCGCAGUUAACACAUUAAGUACCCCGCCUGGGGAGUACGGCCGCAAGGCUGAAACUCAAAUGAAUUGACGGGG